rnacentral:tRNA from 1 species
CAUAGCUCAGCUGGGAGAGCGCCUGCUUUGCACGCAGGAGGUCAGGAGUUCGAUCCUCCUUGGCUCCACCA